rnacentral:rRNA from 1 species
GACGAACGCUGGCGGCGUGCUUAACACAUGCAAGUCGAACGAAGUGGCGAACGGGUGAGUAACGCGUAAUCAACCUGCCCUUCAGCGGGGGACAACAGUUGGAAACGACUGCUAAUACCGCAUACUGAAGUAGGGGAUUUCGACGGAUUAGCUAGUUGGAGGGGUAACGGCCCACCAAGGCGAUGAUCAAUAGCCCGUCUGAGAAGAUGACCGGCCAAAAUGGGACGGAGACACGGCCCAGAAUCCUACGGGAUGCAGCAGUGGGGAAUCUUCCGCAAUGGACGAAAGUCUGACGGAGCAACGCCGCGUGAGGGAUGACGGCCUUCGGGUUGUAAAGCUCUGUUAAUCGGGACGCGGUACCGGAAUAGAAAGCCACGGCUAACUACGUGCCAGCAGCCGCGGUAAUAC